GCCAGAAAGUUCGUUCGGGGUUUUCCGAGCUGUCCUCUGGAAAAACCCGAACAAACUUUUUGGC
rnacentral:miRNA from 1 species